UGGCGGCGUGCCUAAUACAUGCAAGUCCAUUGGACGAUUCAAAAGCUUGCUUUUGAAUCGUUAGCGGCGGACGGGUGAGUAACACGUGGGCAACCUGCCCUGUAGACGGGGAUAACACCGAGAAAUCGGUGCUAAUACCGGAUAACACGAAGAACCGCAUGGUUUUUCGUUGAAAGGCGGCGCAAGCUGUCGCUACAGGAUGGGCCCGCGGCGCAUUAGCUAGUUGGUGAGGUAACGGCUCACCAAGGCGACGAUGCGUAGCCGACCUGAGAGGGUGAUCGGCCACACUGGGACUGAGACACGGCCCAGACUCCUACGGGAGGCAGCAGUAGGGAAUCUUCCGCAAUGGACGAAAGUCUGACGGAGCAACGCCGCGUGAGCGAAGAAGGCCUUCGGGUCGUAAAGCUCUGUUGUUAGGGAAGAACAAGUACCGCAGUCACUGGCGGUACCUUGACGGUACCUAACGAGAAAGCCACGGCUAACUACGUGCCAGCAGCCGCGGUAAUACGUAGGUGGCAAGCGUUGUCCGGAAUUAUUGGGCGUAAAGCGCGCGCAGGCGGUUCCUUAAGUCUGAUGUGAAAGCCCACGGCUCAACCGUGGAGGGUCAUUGGAAACUGGGGGACUUGAGUGCAGAAGAGGACAGCGGAAUUCCACGUGUAGCGGUGAAAUGCGUAGAGAU
rnacentral:rRNA from 1 species